rnacentral:rRNA from 1 species
UACGGGGGGGGUAAGCGUUGUUCGGAAUUACUGGGCGUAAAGGGCUCGUAGGCGGCCAACUAAGUCAGACGUGAAAUCCCUCAGCUUAACUGGGGAACUGCGUCUGAUACUGGAUGGCUUGAGAUUGGGAGAGGGAUGCGGAAUUCCAGGUGUAGCGGUGAAAUGCGUAGAUAUCUGGAGGAACACCGGUGGCGAAGGCGGCAUCCUGGACCAACACUGACGCUGAGUGAGCGAAAGCCAGGGGAGCAAACGGG